GCCAGACUCCUACGGGAGGCAGCAGUGGGGGAUAUUGCACAAUGGGGGAAACCCUGAUGCAGCGACGCCGCGUGUAGGAAGACGGUCCUCUGGAUUGUAAACUACUGUCCCCAGGGACGAAGAUGACGGUACCCGGGGAGGAAGCUCCGGCUAACUACGUGCCAGCAGCCGCGGUAAUACGUAGGGAGCGAGCGUUGUCCGGAAUUACUGGGUGUAAAGGGAGCGUAGGCGGGGAUGCAAGUUGGGUGUUAAAUCUACCGGCUCAACUGGUAGUCGCACUCAAAACUGCAGCUCUUGAGUGAAGUAGAGGCAGGCGGAAUUCCUAGUGUAGCGGUGAAAUGCGUAGAUAUUAGGAGGAACACCAGUGGCGAAGGCGGCCUGCUGGACGACAGCUGACGGUGAGGCGCGAAAGCGUGGGGAGCAAACAGGAUUAGAUACCCUCGUA
rnacentral:rRNA from 1 species